rnacentral:rRNA from 1 species
GAUGAACGCUAGCUACAGGCUUAACACAUGCAAGUCGAGGGGCAGCAUGGUCUUAGCUUGCUAAGGCCGAUGGCGACCGGCGCACGGGUGAGUAACACGUAUCCAACCUGCCGUCUACUCUUGGACAGCCUUCUGAAAGGAAGAUUAAUACAAGAUGGCAUCAUGAGUCCGCAUGUUCACAUGAUUAAAGGUAUUCCGGUAGACGAUGGGGAUGCGUUCCAUUAGAUAGUAGGCGGGGUAACGGCCCACCUAGUCUUCGAUGGAUAGGGGUUCUGAGAGGAAGGUCCCCCACAUUGGAACUGAGACACGGUCCAAACUCCUACGGGAGGCAGCAGUGAGGAAUAGUGGUCAAUGGGCGAGAGCCUGAACCAGCCAAGUAGCGUGAAGGAUGACUGCCCUAUGGGUUGUAAACUUCUUUUAUAAAGGAAUAAAGUCGGGUAUGGAUACCCGUUUGCAUGUACUUUAUGAAUAAGGAGCGGCUAACUCCGUG